ACAGGACUGGAGUGGAUCCCCAUAAAAUGAGUGAAGCCAUAUUAUGAGUUAGAGACCGCUGAAAAAGCCCCUCCUGAUGAUGAAGGACCUGUCGUUGGAGAAUCGACCAAAACUGACAGUGAUGGCUUGGAAGGCACCUGACAUUACCUGGGGACAGCUAAAGAAACCGGACCAACAGGGAACUAUCUGGCUUGCGUCUAUGGGAGCCCCUGCAACUGCAGAGAACCGGUUUCUUAUGUAUCUGACGGUAAUUGGGGAAGCUUCUGAGAAAGCAUCUGCAAAUGGCUCUGUGCUGCCACUCAACCAACUAUGACCAGGGAAGAGUGAUAGAAGCUUACUUUGCAUUGGAUAAUCAGCACGUUCUAAGAAUUAAAGAAGGGGGAAAUGUGGGGGGUGUAUGACAAUACAUUCAAGUUUAUGUACAAGGCAUUUGAGGUUGAGGCAUGGAAAAAUACUGAGGCACUGUGUGUAUGUUGUUUGUGCAUGAGACUGUAAUUCCUUGACCCUGAAAAUAGGACAAGGAAUAGAAUUUGUAAUAAGGAGUGCUGAACACAGCCUCCUAAGAAUGUGGUUUGAGUGCUUUUAGAUGUUAUAAACAAGACCAUAUGUGCCUCAUGACCCAACCCCAAAUAGCCACCUGGUAGAUGUUUCUUGUUUGUCUAAAUUGUGGUUCAACUAGCCUUCUCAAUAAAUACUUGGCAGAUGAAUCUUAAAGCUGCACUUUCUUGGAGGAGCUGCUCCCCUCCCUGUUCAGCUGUAAUUGUCUGAAUACUUAUUUCUUGGCAUUCACUGCAGAGCAAGCUGCAGCACAGCUGCCGGCAUUUAUUCAUGCAAGCUUCCAGCUUGCUUAUCUAUAUCUGCAGCUCAAUUUUACAGGCUGCUCUUAAAAAAAAAAAAAACA